UACGUAGGGGGCAAGCGUUGUCCGGAAUCAUUGGGCGUAAAGCGCGCGUAGGCGGCCCGGUAAGUCCGUUGUGAAAGUCAAAGGCUCAACCUUUGAACGCCGAUGGAUACUGCCGGGCUAGAGUCCGGAAGAGGCGAGUGGAAUUCCUGGUGUAGCGGUGGAAUGCGCAGAUAUCAGGAGGAACACCGGUGGCGAAGGCGGUUCUCUGGACGGCAACUGACGCUGAGGCACGAAAGCGUGGGGAGCAAACAGG
rnacentral:rRNA from 1 species